UCCGGUGCUUAUGGCAGAGGGGUCACACCUGUUCCCAUCUCGAACACAGAAGUUAAGCCCUUUUGCGCCUAUGGUACUGCCAGGGUGACUUGGUGGGAGAGUCGGUCAGUGCCGGAA
rnacentral:rRNA from 1 species